GUGGCUUCUCGGGUCUCCGCCACCUUUCCUAGCCCGAGAUGUCCAGCGCAAUGUCACCAGUAGAUCCCAUCGGCGCAUCACUGGCUAAGAAGAGCAAGACCAAAGCGUUAGCUAUAAAGAGCAACAACUAUGCAGCUGUGGUGGGCUGCACCUUUGGUCGCAGCAACGGCAAUGUCGUAGCACCUCUCCAUCAUGGAAGCAGAUCAGCGGUGGGACUCAUCCUCAGUGGUCGUGGCAACGGUGCAGGACCAACACUUAGGCAAUGUCAGCAGUGGGACGAUGAUUGUGGCUACCUCCAUAUGGAU
rnacentral:lncRNA from 1 species